rnacentral:tRNA from 1 species
GGUGGGUUGGCUCAGUGGUUAGAGCGUAGGUCUCGUUAGCGAAAGGUCGCGGGAUCGAAUCCCGCUAGAGGCUG